CUUGAAAGCGCACCGAUCGUCAUGGAAAGGUUUGAGGACUCUGUAUACCUUGAUCUUCCAUUCUGAAGCCACCUAAACAUCGAUUUAUGUUUUUCCAUUCCAUUUUAAGUGUCAAGGAAGAAAUUUCUCCGUUUUAGGAAUGAAAACAAGACCCUGGAAGUUUGGAGAUUUGGCCCGCAACGCACCAUGAGUGCAUGAUUUUAAGACGAAAAACCAUCUUUCUAGGACCAGUAAAGUCCUAUAAAAAUAUGCUCAGAAAGUCGAUUCUCGUUGGUUUAUUUGUCCUUAACAACAAUAGAACAAUAGGAGAUCCAAAAAGUCUGCAGGGAGGGUAGGAAAGGCAAUUGUCCUCACAUGCUUUUUUACAGCCAGUUACAGCCGGCACAGGAAAUUGGGGGUGGGUUUUUGACUGGCCUGUUAUGGCCGGCACAGGAGUCAAUGGGUUAAAUCACAUAGAUAAUGCAUGCCUUGUGUGCCUAUGUUUAUUUUUUGUAAGCAGUAGUCCUACUUGCUGGAUUUUGUGUCCUUAUUCAUAUUUAUUAAAGGGUUUGUUAUAUUGCAGGGUCUGUAAAUUUUCUGUAACUUUGAGUGGGCUUAAGAACAUUUCUUGUUACACUGGGUACUUUGUCAUGAAGGGUUUUCUUUACAAUUAAAAGUGGUUCGUCAAAAGAAAGUAUUUCUAAUAAUUCAUUUCUUUGUUAUAGUUUGACUGUACUUUAGGUGAGGCCCAUCUUGUGCAACGUAAAAAGAGCAAUGGACUUAUCAAUGAGGAUGAGCAAAUUGUACCAAGCAGAGAAAGGCUGAUUAACAAUCUCUUAAUAGCACGUAAAGAUAUUGUGAGUGUGAACAUCACUAAGACUGAAGAGCCUGAGAUCGAUGGCUUCACAGAUGAGGCCAUUGCUGCUGCACAGAAGCACACCAAUGGUCAGAUCAUGGAGCGGCAACUCCAGGUACAUA